GCCUAACCGUAAACUUUAAAUUACACCUAUAUCGCCCGGGAACUACGAGCAAAGCUUAAAACCCAAAGGACUUGACGGUACCCCACAUCCACCUAGAGGAGCCUGUCCUGUAAUCGAUAACCCCCGUUUAACCUCACCAUUUUUAGCCUAUCAGCCUGUAUACCUCCGUCGUCAGCUUACCACGUGAGCGACUUCCAGUGAGCCUAACGCCCAUACGCCAACACGUCAGGUCAAGGUGCAGCAGAUAAAAUGGGAAGAGAUGGGCUACACUCUCUAUUCUAGAAAAUACGGAAGACUAUUUAUGAAACCUAGUCGGAAGGCGGAUUUAGUAGUAAAAAGAGAUAAGAGCGCUCUUUUUAACAUGGCACUGGGGUGUGUACACACCGCCCGUCACCCUCUUCAAAGCUGAUAUGAAGUUCCUAACACACUUAAGCACUACAGAAGAGGCAAGUCGUAACAUGGUAAGUAUACCGGAAGGUGUGCUUGGAAA
rnacentral:rRNA from 1 species